GGGAGGUUGGCCGAGUGGUUUAAGGCGUCAGAUUUAGGUCUACCUAAACAUUCUGAUAUCUUCGGAUGCAAGGGUUCGAAUCCCUUAUCUCUCA
rnacentral:tRNA from 1 species